rnacentral:RNase_P_RNA from 2 species
AAAUUAGCCGAGAUGAUCGCCCCGGGUUUAUCCUGGGGAGGAUAAAGUCCGAACACCAUUUUUCCAUUUUUAAAUGGAGGAUAGUUGUUAACGACAACCGGCCAUUUGGGUAACUAAGUGGUCAGGACAAGUUGAACAGAGAAUAUUCCUUCCUGAGUGAGGCCGUAAGGCCGAAUCGAAGGAUAAGGGUGAAAUGGUCAGAUAAUUAGCUGACCCGUUAGCUUGGCGACAAGCUAAAAGAGCUAAACUCUAUUCGGUGCAAGAGCAAAUAGGCCAAGGCUUCGGCUGAGGCGGGUAGCUUGCUUGAGACUAUGGGUAAUCAUAGUCCUAGAUAGAUGAUCAUCACUCUGGCGCAAGUCAGAGUACAGGAUUCGGCUUAUGAGGCUAAUUUAAGC